AAACACCCCAAGAAGAUACUCGAAAAGUAUGUUUUUAAUCAAAUUUUCUCUUUAUCCUAGUUUCAGUUAUUGUAAUUUCAACAUUCGCCGUGAUACACGCUGAUAAUGCAUCAUUUACGAGAUGGUCUCUCGUAUAUAUGACUGUUCACCCUAUCAACUAAGAAAAUCCUGAGAAGAGUGCAAAUUGGCAGUUACUAAUUGUUCAGUAUUCAUCAAAGAAUCAGCGGAUUGUAACGAGGAAAGAGGUUGAAUACACAAACUCGUUUUCCACCAAAUAACCAAGAAAGUUAUUGUCGAACACUGUCCAUUCAACAUGAAAUCGAUCUCGUAAGAUCACUUCAAAGACGAAAGCAACCAAAAUUUGUUCACGAUUCACAUAUUGAGAUUAUUAUUUUCAAGUAAAAGCAGCUCGUACUAAAAAUCAAUAUUCAGGGAAAAAUCUUCCACGGAUACAGCGACGCCCAUUAUGAGAUUUGCAGAUACGCGGUGAUUAAAAUUGAAUACCAUGCGGGUAAACAAGCUGGCAGUAAAUCUUCGGGUACUAAUUCUUCAGCAUUCAUCAAGGGAUCAGUAGCCCGUAACGAGGAAAGAGAUCGGCCAAUAAUGGCUGAUAAAACGCUCGUCAAACCGGCGUGCGUGCUCGAAAGCGCGCGGUAAGAAUGCAGCAACGAGAGGCGCCGAGAAAAACGGCUUUCAUUAAGAACGUAGCAGCGAGUGGUAAUAAGAAAAACGGGUUCAACGUGAAAUAGCGGCCAAGAGGAGAGCUGGUUUUUAUCCCGUGGAAUGCGGCUAUCGAGGAAAAGAGCUUUUGCCCCGUGUCCCUGAUUGAUUCGAGCCGUGUGCACGCGAGUUCACGCGUUCGCGUGGAUUUGGAAUUCUAGCAAAUUCGAUAACAGUUAGUUUUAUUGAAUACCUGAUAAUUUAAUAAAUAGUGACAGCUUCUACAUAACUGAUUUUGUUCAAAUUUACACUACUUUACUCCUGUCAUGCUGCCACAUUUGUUACAUUCGAGCGACCCACAAUUUGAGAAUGUACAAUAUAAGAGACCUUUUUGUUGAAAGAAAUGUAUAUAACAUACUGAAAUAAUAAAUAGUGUAGAAUCGAGACUCCAGAAAUUCUCCAAGGAUUAGAUCAUCGUUUGAUCGGUCGUUCACCUACAUCGUCAGCUCGUCUUUCACAAAACGCAGAAUAAAUGCGCAGAAUUCGUUGCGCAAUUACGCAAGACGCGGAGAGGAAAGAUAAAUUGAAAUCAUCGCUGGACCCUCUUCAGAGGAACGCGAAUGCGUUGCUGUACGUGCGCGAUGAUGCGGGAAAAACGGCGCGCGAAUGCGUAUUGUUGCGUCUCGAGACGGACGAGGAAUAAAUCUACGUGAUGGGUACCAGGUAUGACCUGAAAGGAAAUGCAGCAGACGGGAUGAAUGAUUCUGGACCGUUGCGUUAGCUAAUAAAUAACGGACGAGUCCGCAAUCUUAAUUGAUUGCUGUUUCCAGUAUUGGAAUAGCAAGAUGUUUCCUCUUUGGAUGGCAAAUUUAAUCUUUUCUUUUUUUUCAAUGGAUAUUGUUUGUUUCCAGUUUCCAGUUUCAAUUUUAGCAGCGAUCUGGAUUUUUCAUUGAAAUUUUUAGCGUCAAAAAUGUCAUAUAAAAUAACGUUUAUAUGGCUACUUUGUUGACGCACAUUGCUACCUCAUACAAAGAUCCAAUUUCACACAUCAGCAGCGUUGUUUGGAAUAAAAUGAAAGCUUCGAGCAAGGCGGUCGUGUAAAACGCGAAGCUUUAAACGUGGUUCUAAAAAUCGCGCCAUUCCUCCUUAAAUCGCCCGAGAAACCGUCGUUAAUUUUAUGAGGCGCUACAGAUUGUGAUACGAACACGCGUCGUAACGCUUCGAGUUAGAUGGAGCGAGGGUGUACCGUUGUAUCGAAUCUAUAAAAUAACGAAAGGCGUGUAUGCGCGAAACCGUAAGUAUGAAUUUCGUACUGUGAGUGUCGCAAAUAGGGGUGUAAAUACAACGAAGUCGUAUAAUUUUAAUUAGAAACAAGUACUUUCUUCUUCGAAGCGUUAGAAAUUACUGUUCCCUUCAUCACAGAUCCAUUACGUCGUUUCUAAAAUAAACAGUUACGUCAUUAUGCGCCAUAUCGUUCUAAAGUUGAGUAUCCCAUGAUCCAGGCUUACUCAUUCUAAGGUCAACGAUGUGUUGCGGCAUCCAUGCUGUAA